rnacentral:rRNA from 1 species
UUAAAACAAGCUUUUAAGAGCAGAUGGCGGAUGCCUUGCCAAAGAGAGGCGAUGAAGGACGUACUAGACUGCGAUAAGCUAUGCGGAGCUGUCAAGGAGCUUUGAUGCGUAGAUGUCCGAAUGGGGCAACCCAACUAAUAGAGAUAUUAGUUACUCUAAUUAUAGAGAGCGAACCUAGUGAAGUGAAACAUCUCAGUAACUAGAGGAAAAGAAAUCAACGAGAUUCCCUAAGUAGUGGCGAGCGAACGGGGAAAAGGGCAAACCGAGUGCUUGCAUUCGGGGUUGAGGACUGCAAUAUCCAAGAGAACGCUUUAGCAGAGUUACCUGGAAAGGUAAGCCAUAGAAAGUGAUAGCCUUGUAUGCGACAAGGCGUUCUCAGGUAGCAGUAUCCAGAGUAGGCCAGGACACGAGAAAUCCAGGUUGAAGCCGGGGAGACCACUCUCCAACCCUAAAUACUACUCUUUGAGCGAUAGCGAACAAGUACCGUGAGGGAAAGGUGAAAAGAACCGCAGUGAGCGGAGUGAAAUAGAACCUGAAACCAUCUGCUUACAAUCAUUCAGAGCCCUAUGAUUUAUCAGGGUGAUGGACUGCCUUUUGCAUAAUGAUCCUGCGAGUUGUGGUAUCUGGCAAGGUUAAGCGAAUGCGAAGCCGUAGCGAAAGCGAGUCUUAAUAGGGCGCUUGAGUCAGAUGCUGCAGACCCGAAGCUAAGUGAUCUAUCCAUGGUCAAGUUGAAACGCGUGUAAUAGCGCGUGGAGGACUGAACUCGUACCCAUUGAAACGGGUUGGGAUGAGCUGUGGAUAGGGGUGAAAGGUCAAACAAACUUAGUGAUAGCUGGUUCUCUUCGAAAUAUAUUUAGGUAUAGCCUCAAGUGAUAAUAAAAGGGGGUAGAGCUCUGAUUGGGCUAGGGCUGCUCGCCGCGGUACCAAACCCUAUCAAACUUCGAAUACCUUUUAUCGUAUCUUGGGAGUCAGGCGGUGGGUGAUAAAAUCAAUCGUCAAAAGGGGAACAACCCAGACUACCAAAUAAGGUCCCUAAGUUCUAUUCUGAGUGGAAAAAGAUGUGUGGCUACUCAAACAACCAGGAGGUUGGCUUAGAAGCAGCCAUCCUUUAAAGAAAGCGUAACAGCUCACUGGUCUAGUGGUCAUGCGCUGAAAAUAUAACGGGGCUAAGAUAGACACCGAAUUUGUAGAUUGUGUUUGACACAGUGGUAGAAGAGCGUUCAUACCAGCGUUGAAGGUAUACCGGUAAGGAGUGCUGGAGCGGUAUGAAGUGAGCAUGCAGGAAUGAGUAACGAUAAGAUAUAUGAGAAUUGUAUCCGCCGUAAAUCUAAGGUUUCCUACGCGAUGGUCGUCAUCGUAGGGUUAGUCGGGUCCUAAGCCGAGUCCGAAAGGGGUAGGUGAUGGCAAAUUGGUUAAUAUUCCAAUACCGACUAUGGAGCGUGAUGGGGGGACGCAUAGGGUUAAGCGAGCUAGCUGAUGGAAGCGCUAGUCUAAGGGCGUAGAUUGGAGGGAAGGCAAAUCCACCUCUGUAUUUGAAACCCAAACAGGCUCUUUGAGUCCUUUUAGGACAAAGGGAGAAUCGCUGAUACCGUCGUGCCAAGAAAAGCCUCUAAGCAUAUCCAUAGUCGUCCGUACCGCAAACCGACACAGGUAGAUGAGAUGAGUAUUCUAAGGCGCGUGAAAGAACUCUGGUUAAGGAACUCUGCAAACUAGCACCGUAAGUUCGCGAUAAGGUGUGCCACAGCGAUGUGGUCUCAGCAAAGAGUCCCUCCCGACUGUUUACCAAAAACACAGCACUUUGCCAACUCGUAAGAGGAAGUAUAAGGUGUGACGCCUGCCCGGUGCUCGAAGGUUAAGAGGAUGCGUCAGUCGCAAGAUGAAGCGUUGAAUUGAAGCCCGAGUAAACGGCGGCCGUAACUAUAACGGUCCUAAGGUAGCGAAAUUCCUUGUCGGUUAAAUACCGACCUGCAUGAAUGGCGUAACGAGAUGGGAGCUGUCUCAACCAGAGAUUCAGUGAAAUUGUAGUGGAGGUGAAAAUUCCUCCUACCCGCGGCAAGACGGAAAGACCCCGUGGACCUUUACUACAACUUAGCACUGCUAAUGGGAAUAUCAUGCGCAGGAUAGGUGGGAGGCUUUGAAGUAAGGGCUUUGGCUCUUAUGGAGCCAUCCUUGAGAUACCACCCUUGAUGUUUCUGUUAGCUAACUGGCCUGUGUUAUCCACAGGCAGGACA